UUUUUCGAGAGUUUGAUCCUGGCUCAGAACGAACGCUGGCGGCGUGCUUAACACAUGCAAGUCGUACGAGAAAGUCUCUUCGGAGAUGAGUAAAGUGGCGCACGGGUGAGUAACACGUAGGUAACCUACCUCAGGGACCGGGACAACCUACCGAAAGGUGGGCUAAUACCGGAUCAGACCACGGGGGCUUCGGCCCCAGCGGCAAAAGUUGGCCUCUGCGUGCAAGCUAACGCCAUGAGAUGGGCCUGCGGACCAUUAGCUUGUUGGUGGGGUAAUGGCCUACCAAGGCUGAGAUGGAUAGCUGGUCUGAGAGGAUGAUCAGCCACACUGGGACUGAGACACGGCCCAGACUCCUACGGGAGGCAGCAGUGGGGAAUCUUGGGCAAUGGGCGAAAGCCUGACCCAGCAACGCCGCGUGGGUGAUGA
rnacentral:rRNA from 1 species